rnacentral:lncRNA from 1 species
UAUGUGAUUGACAUGUUUGCACAAGGGGAUUUUUAUCCAGUACACCCGGCUCACUACUGGAUCAUCUUUACAGUUGCUUAAUUGGCAACAAAGACAGUGGGAACACAGAUGUGGUAUUAUUCACAAUGUGGACUUUCUAAAACCUUAG